GUACUUACCUGGCAGGGAAGAUGCUAUGAUCAUGAAGGUGGUUCCCCAGGGCAAGGUUUAUCCAUUGCACCGUGAAUAUGCUGACUCCUGCAAUUUCCCAAAUAUGGGAAACUCAGCUGUGUAAUUUACGGCACUGGGAGACUGCAUUUGCACUUUCCCC
ensembl:snRNA U1 U1 spliceosomal RNA